rnacentral:lncRNA from 1 species
GCCCCUCAUCCUGUCCAUCCUCUUAGGGACCUUUAGAGCCCUCCUUCGAAACUACCCAAAAUGUCGUCCGGCUCUUCUGCUCCUUGCAGUUCCAGAAGUUCUUCCGCCUCAAACCCCCAGGUCCCUUGCUCUGUAGACGAACCUGCGUCUGGGGCUGGGCUCCGCCCGGUUUUUGCACCGGGCGCCAUUCCAUGUUCCCUGACUCCGGAGGAACUCCUUCUGAUAAGGGUUCAGUAUGGAGUUCCUCCGG